CGCCCCCAAGGGCGGGCGCGGGGGACAGGCUUCCUGCACGAUUUAACCCGGGAGCGUCGCUCGUGUGAGGCGCAGGCGGCCGCCGGCGUGCGUGUAGGCCCUUGCUCGCCCGGCAGCCUCCAACUGCCCAGUGGCCAUGAUAGUGUUUGUCAGGUUCAACUCCAGCCAUGGUUUCCCAGUGGAGGUCGAUUCUGACACCAGCAUCUUCCAGCUCAAGGAGGUGGUUGCUAAGCAACAGGGGGUUCCAGCUGACCAGUUGCGUGUGAUUUUCGCAGGGAAGGAGCUGAGGAAUGACUUGACAGUGCGGAGCUGUGACCUGGAUCAGCAGAGCAUCGUUCACAUUGUGCUCAGACCCCAGAGAAAAGUCCCAGAAAGGAGCACAGCUGGAAGGGACAGCCCGCAGAACACUGCGGGGGGCUCUGAGAGGGAACCUGAGAGCCUAACUCGGGUGGACCUCAGCAGCUCCGUCCUCCCGGCCGACUCAGUGGGUCUGGCUGUUAUUCUGAAGGAUGACAACGAGAAUGGUGGCCCACCAGCUGGAAGGCCAGCAGGUAGACCAACCUACAACAGCUUUUUUGUCUACUGCAAAGGCCCCUGUCAAGGAGUGCAGCCAGGAAAGCUCAGGGUACGGUGCAGCACCUGCCAACAAGCGACGCUCACCUUGGCCCAGGGUCCUUCUCGCUGGGAAGAUGUCUUAAUCCCAAACCAGAUGAGUGGUGAAUGCCAGUCUCCAAACUGUCCUGGGACUAGAGCAGAAUUUUUCUUUAAAUGUGGAGCACACCCGACCUCUGACAAGGAAACGUCAGUAGCUUUGAACCUGAUCACAACAAAUAGUCGAGACAUCACCUGCAUAACAUGUAUGGACAUCAGAAGCCCGGUCCUGGUUUUCCAGUGCAACUACCGCCACGUGAUUUGCUUAGACUGUUUCCACCUCUACUGUGUGACGAGACUCAAUGAUCGGCAGUUUGUCCACGACCCUCAGCUUGGUUACUCUCUACCUUGUGUGGCUGGCUGCCCCAACUCCUUGAUUAAAGAGCUCCAUCACUUCAGGAUUCUUGGAGAAGAGCAGUACAACCGGUACCAGCAAUAUGGCGCCGAAGAGUGCGUGCUGCAGAUGGGGGGCGUGCUGUGCCCCAGCCCGGGCUGCGGAGCAGGGCUGCUUCCUGAGCCCAGCCAGAGGAAGGUCACCUGCGAAGGGGGCAGCGGCCUGGGCUGCGGGUUCGUCUUUUGCCGGGACUGUAAGGAACCGUACCACGAAGGUGAAUGCAGUGCCCUGUUCGAAGCCUCAGGAACAGUUACUCAGGCCUACCAAGUUGAUGAGAAGACGGCAGAGCGGGCUCGGUGGGAGCACGCCUCCAAAGAAACGAUCAAGAAGACCUCUAAACCCUGUCCCCGUUGCCACGUGCCGGUGGAAAAACAUGGCGUAUUCCUGAGUCCCGGCCGUCCUGUCCUCUGGACGUGUUCUACGGUGGGCGUCUGUGGUUUGGUGGAGGAGCGCCCACCCAGCAUGGACCUCAUCGCGUUGCUGAAGUCUCAGUUUCUGUGCCAUCUCAUCUUCUGUUACGUGUUUAUCGCCUCGGGGCUCAUCAUCAACACCAUUCAGCUCUUCACGCUCCUCCUCUGGCCAAUUAACAAGCAACUUUUCCGGAAGAUCAACUGCCGGCUGUCCUACUGCAUCUCCAGCCAGCUGGUGAUGCUGCUGGAAUGGUGGUCGGGCACGGAGUGCAUCAUCCACACGGACCCCCGGGCCUACCCCAAGUACGGGAAGGAAAACGCCAUCGUUGUUCUGAACCACAAGUUUGAGAUCGACUUUCUCUGCGGUUGGAGCCUGGCCGAGCGCUUCGGGGUCUUAGGGGGCUCCAAGGUCCUGGCCAAGAAGGAGCUGGCCUACGUCCCCAUAAUCGGCUGGAUGUGGUACUUCACGGAGAUGGUCUUCUGCACGCGCAAGUGGGAGCAGGACCGCAAGACCGUCUCUGAGAGCCUGCUGCACCUGCGGGACUACCCCGAGAAGUACUUUUUCCUGAUUCACUGCGAGGGCACGCGGUUCACGGAGAAGAAGCACCAGAUAAGCAUGCAGGUGGCCCAGGCCAAGGGGCUGCCCAGCCUCAAGCACCACCUGCUGCCUCGCACCAAGGGCUUCGCCAUCACCGUGAGGAGUUUGAGAAAUGUAGUUUCAGCUGUAUAUGACUGUACACUCAAUUUCAGAAAUAAUGAAAAUCCAACACUGCUGGGAGUCCUAAAUGGAAAGAAAUAUCACGCAGAUUUAUACGUUAGGCGGAUCCCUUUAGGAGAAGUCCCAGAAGAUGAGGACAGGUGCGCGGCCUGGCUGCACAAGCUCUACCAGGAGAAGGACGCCCUCCAGGAGGAGUACUCCCGCACGGGCACCUUCCCCGGGACGCCCAUGGUGCCCCCGCGGCGGCCCUGGACGCUCGUCAACUGGCUGUUCUGGGCCUCGCUGCUGCUCUACCCGUUCUUCCGCUUCCUCGUCAACAUGGUCCGCAGCGGCUCCUCCCUGACGUUGGCCAGCUUCGUCCUCGUCUUCUUCGUGGCUUCCGUGGGGGUCCGAUGGAUGAUUGGUGUCACGGAAAUCGACAAGGGCUCCGCCUACGGCAACAUGGACAGCAAGCAGAAACACGGCGACUGACCCAGGACGCACCACCGUCCACAGGGGACCUUGGAGGACUGGUGGAUGCUGCCAUCGUCCUUGGAGGGACCCAGUGAUGAAGCUGGCAAGGAGAUUCUAGACCCUAAAGGAACUCCUAACCCAGCGCCCACCUUCAGCACACUUGAUUGUACCCCUUCUGUUGAGGAACACAUGAGUGACAAGGACAGACCUCUGUAUCAGAUAAUGUGUUGGCUCUGAAGCUGAUAACCAUUAAAAGACAAUAUAACUGAGCUUUCCUAAAAUAAAUCAUUUAUUGAAAAAAGAACCUUUUUCUUAAAUUUCAUUAAUCAGCCUUUUGCAUAACAAACCUGUGGCUUGCCAACAACAACAACAACAGGUAAGGUUUCACAGUCAGUGCACUCGACAAACAAGAGAUUAACAAGGCCCAGGACGCCUGAUAACACUACAACUGCUUUUGAACCUAGAAAGGUCAAAAAUACUACACUGAUGUCACGGUUCUCAGUCACCCGAGAAACGGAGGUGACGGAGGUGAUGGUCCGUGUACAGUAGUAAUGGCACUUAACAUGCAGCUUCUUUACCUCGUGGACACCAUCACUCAGGAGGGCCCCGUGCCACGUCGAACAAACAGGAGCAGCAGGAGAAGUGACGCUUGUCACCUGUGCAGUCUUCAGUCUUGGAAGGUUAAAAAGGCUUAUACUGCUUCUCAGCACAGUCUUUAUGUAAAUAUUACAUACAGUAGUGAUUAAGAGAAUUUUCCGAGUACACACACUACUAGGCCACAGACUGGUUAGCUUCAUUCUUCAUCUGUGCAAACCUGUGAGGAAGGCAGGAGAGAGCUGAACCCUAUUCACGCCACAUGUAAGAUUUACAGGUAAGUCAUAAUCAGUGCAUCUUGAUGCUCCCAGCACUGUGCCUGGCACAGAGCAAAGGCGUAAUCAAUGCAAUGAAAUGUCAGUGCUAAGUUACUGCUCUAUGAAUUGACUAUUGAAAGCAUUUUUAAGAAUGUAUUUGUGGGGCUUCCCUGGUGGCGCAGUGGUUGAGAGUCCGCCUGCCGAUGCAGGGGACAUGGGUUCAAGCCCUGGUCUGGGAAGAUCCCACAUGCCGCAGAGCAACUAGGCCCGUGAGCCACAACUACUGAGCCUGUGCUCCUCAACAAGAGAGGCCGUGAUAGUGAGAGGCCCGCGCACUGCAAUGAAGAGUGGCCCCCGCUCGCCGCAACUAGAGAAAGCCCUCACACAGAAACGAAGACCCAACACAGCCAAAAAUAAAUAAAUAAAUAUUUUUUAAAAAAGGGCUUAAUACAUUAAAAAAAGAACAUAUUUGUACAAUAUCAAGUCAAUAAAAAUUGCUUAUAUACUUUAUAAAGAAUAAAUACAUUUUUAUUUAAUUACAAAUCCCUAAUAUCUAUGCAGCAUAUCCAGCUAUUGAUUACUUAAUUUCACUCACCAAGGAAUAAUGUGACCCCUCUCUUGAAUCUUUCUUUCCUGUAUGAGGAGCUCCUCUGCAGGACCCUGUAAAUGUUUUCUCCAGGUUUCCACUCUCAUUCCAUGUCUCCUCUAAAUGCUCUCCCAGCAAUAUUUCUCUCUCUCAAAUCCGUAUCCUAUCCCAGUUCUCUCGAGUGCCAGUCCAAAAUAUCCAAAUGCCUGUCUAAAAUCCCCCAACAGAUAUUCCAAAUACGCCUCGAACUCAAUCUACCAAAGAGGAGACCAUCAUCUCCCGACGCAACCCUCAACCAGAUGCCCUCUUUACCUAUCUUGGCAAAUGGAAUCUCGAUAACCUGGUGACACAAGCCAGAGCCCGGGAGCCGUCCUGGACUCCUCCCCGUCACGCGCCUUUCACAUCCCAUCAGUUACUCACUCACGGCCAUUCUCACUCCUAUAUACGGCUGGUGACUCACCCCUGACCUCCCACUCCCAACCCAGCAGCUGUGUCAGCAGCUUCCCAACUAGUCUCUCACCUCCAGAGUGACUGUUCUAAAACACAAUUUAA